GUGCUUGCUUUUGUAGCACACAUAGGAACACUGGAAUGACACAGAAAAGAUUAGCAUGGCUUCUAAACCAGGAUGACUCGCAACUUCACCACAUGCUCUAUAUUUUA
ensembl:snRNA U6 U6 spliceosomal RNA